rnacentral:rRNA from 1 species
UACGAAGGGGGCUAGCGUUGCUCGGAAUCACUGGGCGUAAAGGGUGCGUAGGCGGGUCUUUUAGUCAGGGGGGAAAUCCUGGAGCUCAACUCCAGAACUGCCUUUGAUACUGAAGAUCUUGAGUCCGGGAGAGGUGAGUGGAACUGCGAGUGUAGAGGUGAAAUUCGUAGAUAUUCGCAAGAACACCAGUGGCGAAGGCGGCUCACUGGCCCGGUACUGACGCUGAGGCACGAAAGCGUGGGGAGCAAACAGG